rnacentral:tRNA from 1 species
AGAAACUUAGGAUUAAUCGAAACCGAAGGCCUUCAAAGCCUUAAACAAGAGUUAGACCCUCUUAGUUUCUG